CUCGUAGGUGGCCAACUAAGUCAGACGUGAAAUCCCUCGGCUUAACCGGGGAACUGCGUCUGAUACUGGAUGGCUCGAGGUUGGGAGAGGGACGCGGAAUUCCAGGUGUAGCGGUGAAAUGCGUAGAUAUCUGGAGGAACACCGGUGGCGAAGGCGGCGUCCUGGACCAAUUCUGACACUGAGGAGCGAAAGCCAGGGGAAGGCAAACG
rnacentral:rRNA from 1 species